rnacentral:tRNA from 1 species
GGGAUUGUGGCUCAGUGGUAGAGCACUUGCCUGGCAUGUGUGAGGCCCUGGGUUCAAUCCCCAGCACCG